GAUGAACGCUGGCGGCGUGCCUAAUACAUGCAAGUCGAGCGGCAGCACGGUCUUCGGACUGGUGGCGAGCGGCGGACGGCUGAGUAACGCGUAGGAACGUACCCCAAAGUGAGGGAUAACUGCUCGAAAGAGUAGCUAAUACCGCAUGUGAUCUAAGGAUUAAAGCUUCGGCGCUUUGGGAACGGCCUGCGUCCGAUUAGCUAGUUGGUGAGGUAAAAGCUCACCAAGGCGACGAUCGGUAGCUGGUCUGAGAGGAUGAUCAGCCAGACUGGGACUGAGACACGGCCCAGACUCCUACGGGAGGCAGCAGUAGGGAAUUUUCCACAAUGGGCGAAAGCCUGAUGGAGCAACGCCGCGUGCAGGAUGAAUGCCUUAGGGUUGUAAACUGCUUUUAUAUGUGACGAAUAUGACGGUAGCAUGUGAAUAGGGAUCGGCUAACUCCGUGCCAGCCGCCGCGGUAA
rnacentral:rRNA from 1 species